UAAGGGAUAUUGCGACAAUGGGCGAGAGCCUGACGCAGCAACGCCGCGUGCGGGAGGAAGGCCUUCGGGUUGUAAACCGCUUUUGAGGGGGAAGAGGAAGGACGGUACCCUUCGAAUAAGUCUCGGCUAACUACGUGCCAGCAGCCGCGGUAAAACGUAGGAGGCGAGCGUUAUCCGGAUUUACUGGGUGUAAAGCGCGUGCAGGCGGUGGGACAAGUUAACUGUGAAAGCGCCCGGCUCAACCGGGCGAGGACAGUUAAGACUGUUUUGCUGGAGGCAGGUAGAGGUGUGUGGAAUGCCGGGUGUGGUGGUGAAAUGCGUAGAGAUCCGGAGGAACACCAGUGGCGAAGGCGACACACUGGGCCUGCCUUACGCUCAGACGCGAAAGCAUGGGGAGC
rnacentral:rRNA from 1 species